rnacentral:rRNA from 1 species
AGUGAACGCUGGCGGUAGGCCUAACACAUGCAAGUCGAACGGCAGCACAGUAAGAGCUUGCUCUUACGGGUGGCGAGUGGCGGACGGGUGAGGAAUACAUCGGAAUCUACUUUUUCGUGGGGGAUACGUAGGGAAACUUACGCUAAUACCGCAUACGACCUACGGGUGAAAGCAGGGGAUCUUCGGACCUUGCGCGAUUGAAUGAGCCGAUGUCGGAUUAGCUAGUUGGCGGGGUAAAGGCCCACCAAGGCGACGAUCCGUAGCUGGUCUGAGAGGAUGAUCAGCCACACUGGAACUGAGACACGGUCCAGACUCCUACGGGAGGCAGCAGUGGGGAAUAUUGGACAAAGGGCGCAAGCCUGAUCCAGCCAUACCGCGUGGGUGAAGAAGGCCUUCGGGUUGUAAAGCCCUUUUGUUGGGAAAGAAAAGCAGCAGGUUAAUACCCCGCUGUUCUGACGGUACCCAAAGAAUAAGCACCGGCUAACUUCGUG